rnacentral:rRNA from 1 species
UACGGAGGAUGCAAGCGUUAUCCGGAUUCACUGGGUUUAAAGGGUGAGUAGGCGGACUGAUAAGUCAGUGGUGAAAGACUGUAGCUUAACUAUAGAAAUGCCAUUGAUACUAUCGGCCUUGAGUACAGUUGAGGCAGGCGGAAUGUGCAGUGUAGCGGUGAAAUGCUUAGAUAUUGCACAGAACACCAAUUGCGAAGGCAGCUUGCUAAGCUGUUACUGACGCUGAGUCACGAAAGCGUGGGGAUCAAACAGG